UCCCGCUUGGUAUAGCUGGUUUAUCAAGUUCGGCCGCAAUGUAUUAUGCUACUGAAAGGUCCCUUGUUCGAUUCUAGGAGCUGAUU